rnacentral:misc_RNA from 1 species
UAUAACGUCGGGGGCCGGCUUGGGAAAGCGUACCCGUGUGGUGUUGGCUUAGCCAACAUAAACGCUUUACCUGCCUGCCCUGUCUGAACAUACCCAUGUUUUUUGCGUACCAAUUGUUUCCUCGGUGGGCUUGCCUGCCAGUAGGACGUUAUAAAACCCUUUGUAAUUGCAGUCAGCGUCAGAAAAACUUAAUAGUUACAACUUUCAACAACGGAUCUCUUGGUUCU